UCCGUCCUCUGAGCGUAUAUCAGAUGGAGAUGGGGAACAGAACCGCCGGCCACUCCCUUCAUUCCAAACACACUGCCGACCAGGAAAGGAAAUGUUCUCUGAACACCGUGUUCCUACUAAUCUUUAUACGACCUGUAGAGGCAGGUGUUUCGCAUGAGAAGAAUGGGGAAAAGCUGGCGGUUACACAACGAGGCAGAGUUGUGUUGGAAGACUCAAACGUCUUCCGGCCGUUAAGGAGGCGCGAGCCUUAUCGUCCUUUCUGGCGUCUUUCGCACACAUGCCCGUGCAAAGCAGCUAUCGGAUCUGAGAGCCAGGUGCUUGACCACAGAUUUAAGCGGCUGGGCACACGCCUUGGAAAGCAGCAGGCCCCGAGUUCAGCCCGUGUAAAACCAAUAAGACACCUAACUGGUUUUACUGGUAGAUGCUGGGGGUGCGAGAGAGAGAAGGCUGUGCAGACUAAACCACAAACACUCAGGGGGAAAGAUGUUCCUUUUCCUUCCCUUCCCUUCCCUUCCUUCCAACAACUUAAGCAGCUUCUUAACCGGCUAAAAAUAUUUCUAUUCCCCCGAGGCGUCUGAUUAUUUUCCUGACAGACACUACCUCAGCACCAUGGAGUCAAUAUAAACCGACCACCCUCUUUGGCCUUCCUUUGCUGUGGGCGGAAAAGGCGAGAAGGAAAAAAUGUAGGAAGCCACAGGAAUUAAACAUGGGACAAUUUGCCUGUCUCAGGACGGCAUCCCAGUGGCUUAGAACAGGGAUGUCCAACCGGUUGACUGCGAUAGACAGGUUGAUCCCUGAUCUGCGACAGUGAAAAGCAAUGGGGUAAAAGUCCCCACGCCCCUCGUCCGUCAAUCUUCUACUCCGCCGUGUCAAAUUUUGCCGGCAAGUGAGGAAACGGAAUUAGUUGUUCCUGCUUCGUCGUCGUUAUAGUUGAACGAUUUCCUUCCCUAUUAACAACUUUGAGUUUGCCCCCCAAACCCCUUUAAAAAAGGUCAACAACUUUGGCUUUGCCCCCCCCAAAGGUCAACAACUUUGGCUUCCCACUUCCCAAAAAUGGGUAGAUCACUGCCAGUUUUUUAUACUGGGAGUAGAUCGCAGUCU